GACAGAGGGGGCAAGCGUUGCUCGGAAUUACUGGGCGUAAAGGGCGCGUAGGCGGAAUGGCAAGUCGGUCGUGAAAUCCUUCGGCUCAACCGAAGAACGUCGAUCGAAACUGCCGUUCUUGAGGAUUGCAGAGGAGACUGGAAUUCCACGUGUAGCAGUGAAAUGCGUAGAGAUGUGGAGGAACACCGAUGGCGAAGGCAGCCCCCUGGGCUAACACUGACGCUCAGGCACGAAAGCGUGGGGAGCAAACAGG
rnacentral:rRNA from 1 species